rnacentral:rRNA from 1 species
AUUGAACGCUGGCGGCAGGCCUAACACAUGCAAGUCGAGCGGAUGAGAGGAGCUUGCUUCUCGAUUCAGCGGCGGACGGGUGAGUAAUGCCUAGGAAUCUGCCUGGUAGUGGGGGACAACGUUUCGAAAGGAACGCUAAUACCGCAUACGUCCUACGGGAGAAAGCAGGGGACCUUCGGGCCUUGCGCUAUCAGAUGAGCCUAGGUCGGAUUAGCUAGUUGGUGAGGUAAUGGCUCACCAAGGCGACGAUCCGUAACUGGUCUGAGAGGAUGAUCAGUCACACUGGGACUGGGACACGGUGCAGACUCCUACGGGAGGCAGCAGUGGGGAAUAUUGGACAAUGGGCGAAAGCCUGAUCCAGCCAUGCCGCGUGUGUGAAGAAGGUCUUCGGAUUGUAAAGCACUUUAAGUUGGGAGGAAGGGUUGUAGAUUAAUACUCUGCAAUUUUGACGUUACCGACAGAAUAAGCACCGGCUAACUCUGUGCCAGCCGCCGCCGUAACAC